UGGGGAAUAUUGCACAAUGGGGGAAACCCUGAUGCAGCGACGCCGCGUGAACGAAGAAGGUAUUCGUAUCGUAAAGUUCUGUCCUAUGUGAAGAUAAUGACAGUACCAUAGAAGAAAGCUCCGGCUAAAUACGUGCCAGCAGCCGCGGUAAUACGUAUGGAGCGAGCGUUGUCCGGAAUUAUUGGGCGUAAAGGGUACGCAGGCGGUUUAAUAAGUCGAAUGUUAAAGAUCGGGGCUCAACCCCGCAAAGCAUUGGAAACUGAUAAACUUGAGUAGUGGAGAGGAAAGUGGAAUUCCUAGUGUAGUGGUGAAAUACGUAGAUAUUAGGAGGAAUACCAGUAGCGAAGGCGACUUUCUGGACACAAACUGACGCUGAGGUACGAAAGCGUGGGGAGCAAACAGG
rnacentral:rRNA from 1 species